rnacentral:rRNA from 1 species
AUGCUGACAAGGUGUGCAAGCUCCAACGCUCGAUUUAUGGGCUGGUGCAAGCAUCUCGGAGUUGGAACAUUCGCUUUUGAUGAGAUGAUCAAAGCGUUUGGGUUUAUGCAGACUUGUGGAGAAGCCUGCGUUUACAAGAAAGUGAGUGGGAGCUCUGUAGCAUUUCUCAUAUUAUAUAUAGAUGACAUAAUUUUGAUGGGAAAUGAUAUAGAGCUUUUGGACAGCAUUAAGGCCUACUUGAAUAAGAGUUUUUCAAUGAAGGACCUUGGAGAAGCUGCUUAUAUAUUAUGCAUCAAGAUCUAUAGAGAUAGAUCAAGACGCCUCAUAGGUCUUUCACAAAGCACAUACCUUGAUAAGAUAUUGAAGAAGUUCAAUAUGGAUCAGUCUAAGAAGGGGUUCUUGCCUGUGUUGCAAGGUGUGAAAUUGAGCUCAGCUCAAUGUCCGACCACGGCAGAAGAUAUAGAAGAGAUGAGUGUCAUCCCCUAUGCCUCAGCCAUAGGUUCUAUUAUGUAUGCCAUGUUGUGUACCAGACCUGAUGUAAACCUUGCCGUAAGUUUGGUAGGUAGGUACCAAAGUAAUCCCGGCAAGGAACACUGGACAGCGGUCAAGAAUAUCCUGAAGUACCUGAAAAGGUCUAAGGAAAUGUUUCUCGUUUAUGGAGGUGACGAAGAGCUCGUCGUAAAGGGUUACGUCGACGCUAGCUUCGACACAGAUCUGGAUGACUCUAAGUCACAAACCGGAUACGUGUAUAUUUUGAAUGGUGGGGCAGUAAGCUGGUGCAGUUGCAAGCAGAGCGUCGUGGCGGGAUCUACAUGUGAAGCAGAGUACAUGGCAGCCUCGGAGGCAGCGCAUGAAGCAAUUUGGGUGAAGGAGUUCAUCACCGACCUAGGAGUCAUACCCAAUGCGUCGGGGCCGAUCAAACUCUUCUGUGACAACACUGGAGCUAUUGCACUUGCCAAGGAGCCCAGGUUUCACAAGAAGACCAGGCACAUCAAGCGUCACUUCAACUCCAUUCGUGAAAAUAUUCAAGAUGGAGACAUAGAUAUUUGUAAAGUACAUACGGACCUGAAUGUAGCAGAUCCGUUGACUAAACCUCUCCCUAGAGCAAAACAUGAUCAACACCAGAAUUCCAUGGGUGUUCGAUUCAUCACAAUGUAA